rnacentral:lncRNA from 1 species
AUAGAAUACAGUUGGUUGUGGCCAGAAUUAAGUGCACCAAUUAGUUUAAGGUAACUGGAGCUUUCCCUGGGUGUGAGUGACUGAGAACAGGAAAGGCCUUCCCCGAAGAGACUGGGCAGACUGCUGACAGAAAAGCUAGUCCUGGGUUCCAGGCAGAGAGCAAAGGGCUGGCUUCCAGUACAGAUUCUUAGUAGAAGAAUCUACUAAGUCCAAGGGAAUUGGAGGUGGGGGUUCUCAUCAUCACCCCAGAUGACUAACCAGGAGGCUGGUGUUUCUUCCACUCCCCUCAGCCUCUGUUAGGAGAGAGAGAAGCCGAUCUGUAGCCUUUGGUUCCUGGGCAUCAGACAUCAUUCAAUAAGCCAUGUGGGCAGGGUUAGUGGAACAGACCCCCAAAACAGUGAUAGAACCAGCAACCGUCUAGGUCUGUGACAGUCUAAAGGUCUGGAGACCAUAGAAGGAUAGAUACACAGUGGAUAUUGAGAACCUAGAGGGUGGCUUCACCUGUGCCCGUCAAAGAAGCCCCUGACAUGCAGUGUGGGGGAGGCCCUAGAUAACCCUGCACAGAGGACAGAGGGACAGCUGUAUGCCCUCAGGAACUGGCAGUUGGAACCACAGGUUCUAUCAUAGCCAGGUGGCUAUGAGGUGGGAAAGAUUGGAUCUAGGCAGCUCAGCCACAAAGGCCUGGCUAGCCAAUUUUCAGAUAGCAUCAGCUCUCCUCUUUGUCAUCCUCUCCUGUGCCGCAGGUGUUACCUAAGACCUCUAAAAAGCACCAGAGGGUGAAGAAAGAAAGCAGGGACCAGCAGAGUAGUGCCCCGAGCUUUCAGCCUCAAAGUUAGUAAAUGCGUCAUCAGCCAAGCCCGGCCUGGAACCUGCUUCCGCCUGCUGAACCCCAUCUUGACCUUCCUAACCUCUCUGCUCAUUUAGCUUUUACCCUGGCUCCGCCUGCCCAGGGUCUGCCCCAUGGCAACCGCUUUAACCCUUUCUCCAGAGCCUAAUCCGGAUCUUGCACACCCUACCAGAUGAACAUGGGUAACUCCUGCUGCCCCCCACCUCCUUGCACAAUCACUUUAACCAUUUCCCAAGAGCCUGAUCUGGACUUUGCUCAACCCACCCUAGUAGGUAGACAUGGGUUCCUCCUGCACCUCUAGGCACAAUCACUUUAGCCCUUUCCCAAGUCUGCUUCCGAGCCAAAGUUUUCCAAGCACUUUCUGCCCGAAAGCUCUUCCUUCCUUGCCUCCUGUGACCCAGCAUUGCCUGUUUAAACUUUGCUUUCUCCUGCCCACGUCUUGUAAUCCUCCUGAUUGGUCUGAAUGCAUUUCCAAUGAUGUCAGGGAGUCUGCCUUCCUCAGCCUCGGCUCCAUUUUAUUUAUUGUUGAAUAUUUCCAAUUAUUCAAAUCAAAGUGAAUAAAAAAAGAGCUAUUUUAUUGUU